rnacentral:rRNA from 1 species
UACGUAGGGGGCAAGCGUUGUCCGGAAUUAUUGGGCGUAAAGAGCUCGUAGGCGGUUCGGUAAGUCGGAUGUGAAAUCUCCACGCUCAACGUGGAGGGGCCAUUCGAUACUGCCGUGACUCGAGUCCGGUAGGGGAGUGUGGAAUUCCCGGUGUAGCGGUGGAAAUGCGCAGAGAUCGGGAGGAACACCCGUAGCGAAGGCGGCACUCUGGGCCGGUACUGACGCUGAGGAGCGAAAGCGUGGGGAGCGAACAGG